GUGCAGAGAAGCUAUUUAAAAUCAUUUUCAUAAGAAGUGAGAGCUUCCCAUGAAACAAAACAAAAGAUGUUUGUCUUUUAUGAAGAUGAAAUCAUCACAGGGCCGAGAUGUUAAUCUACCGUGUUUUCUAAAUCAUCCUUUCAAAGUUAAUAAAUGUCCUGUAGCAAAGUACUGACGUUAUGCAACCCCGUGUCUCCCUAAAUCAAUUUUCCUUCCACUUGUGUACACUUCCUCCCGGUCACGCCAGACCCACGGCAUCACAGUCAUGCCUUGUUAAAGCUGGCUCCAUGCUGGGGCUGCACUCCUGCAGCACCCAGCCCUGCAAAUACUGCUUUAUUCACCUGCUGAGGAGCAGACAAGCCUGGCCACAGUUCGUUGUGUGUUGUGCAUGAUAGCAACAAUUUAUCAUGUGUUUCCCUGGUAACUACAACAUUGUGAACCUUCCUUGGAAACUCCAUUGGGAUUCCUGCAAUAUUUGUGAGCAUAAUGAAUGGGAUCAAGAAGUUGCUUAGAAGUAUGAAUAAUUUCAGUGUUUCAGAGCAACACCCUGAAGUCAGCCACUGCCACCACCAUCUCUGGGUGACUGUGGAGCCCGAGGUGACUUCCCCAGCAUGGACUGGAACAACGUAGCUCUGCUGGAAGAGGAACCUCCCUCCACUGUGACCUUAUUUGCCAUCAAUUAUUUGGGUGUGUGCCAUUCCAGGCUAUGCAGCAGGAGCAGGCAGAUGGACUGCAGCCCUGCUCUGUACACCAGGUGGCCUCAGCGGUAUGUGCUUCAGCCCUGAUCAUCUCAAGGUGCAACCACCACUCCUGACGAUGCCCUUUUUGUUUGCGGUGAUCUGAGCAUGCCUUGCAGUGCAGUGAAACAGAGCCAAGAAUCGUGCAACAGGAGAACAUGUAGGAGAUAAAACACGUGCACGGAUGGGAUUGAUAUCAGAAGGCAUCUGUUAAACACACAUAAUGUUUGUAUGAAACAGCUCUGCAGACAAUGAGUACUACUGUGUUGUAGCUACCUGGAGGGACAGAGAGUUGUUAUCCUCUUCUCUUAGAAUAAAGUUCUUAAAAAAUAAAAGCCUCAGCCACAGGCAAGCAUUUUGCAUGUUGCCACAUAGUGAUUUAUUCAUUAAAGAGGAGAACGGAGGAACCAACAGGUGACUGAUAAAACUGCUGUGUGGGAAACUGCAAGAGGGUCUCAGUGAGAGGCUGAUUGUUCCCAUGGAGGGAAGCUACUGGUGGAAUCUCUCAUCUCACUGUACACAAAGCAGGAGCACACUGAUUAAAUCUGCUGGCCACAUGAAGUUAGAGGAUGCUAUUAGUGAGAUGGAAAAUAGUGAGUCACAGAAACUUGGCAAGGCUCAGUCAUACAAAAUGUAGGUUGUCCACCCGUGGUGGCAGUCAUCUGACAAAAAGGAAAUUUCUGUGGAGGAGUUACCAUGAAUUCUUGUUACUGUUACCAGCGACAAAAGCACUUUAAACAUACUAUCCGUAUCUUUUUAAAAUGGAUACCUAAGGUACAUUUAAAGGACUUUGCACUAAAUGUAGCUAUCAGUCACUCAUGAUGGUAAGAACUCCAUAAGGACUCUGGGUCAGCUGCAGAUGCAUGAACUGUGCUCAUCUAGAUGCUGGAGAUUAAUUAUAUGUUGCUUUAGAGGAGAAUAAUAAAUUCUCUGCAAGAUGGUGCCAUCCACACGGAGGGAUAGAGGAAGGGCAGCUUGAUCUGCUCAAGCGUGGAGACCUCUGAUCUGAUUUUCAAAUUGGAAAACAGGGAAACAAAUAAAAACUGAAAGUGAGCUAUGAUUCUGGAGUGUUCAGUCAAUGUAUUUCUUGCACUGAAAGUCCUGCUGUGAGGCAGAAAUGAAUUUCAACGAGGAACAAGUGCAAGGGCUGUCUGUGAUGAUGACCAGGCAGUGAUCAUCACUUCAGAGAGGACAGAGGUAGUUUGGCCAGAGGAAAGGGAAGGGAAGUUCUGGGAAGGGAAGUUUUGGGAAGGGAAGUUCUGGGAAUGGAAGUUCUGAGAAAUUCUGGGAAGUUCUGGGAAGUUCUGGGAAGGCAAGGCAAGGCAAGGCAAGGCAAAGCUGUGGGAUUUUCCAGAUGCCAUCCAAAAUUUCUUUUAGCAGAUUAGCCUUUAGGUUGUAAACCACCUCUAUCUUUCCUCAGUAUUAUCAAAGACAGAGCCAUGUUUUCAUUAAUUUUUUUUGAGCUGUUCCCCACAUGGCAUGCUGGCUGCAUCUCUCCUCAGCAUGGCUUCUUUCUAUGCCAUGCCUACAGUGACCUGGUCAAGCACUGUCCCAGACCCUAAGCUUUCCCAUUCCCUGUAGGGCUUACCAAAGAUUGUUCAAAUGAGCUUCUCUGAUGGCAUGGAGGUAACUGGGCCCAAUCUAGACCGGGGUCAGUGCCACAUCCUAUAGCUUGACAUUUCUUCUUUUUUCCCUUCCCUCUUUAGCCUUGCAAAAAUAGGAGGGGAACUUGAAUGCUGAGAAAUCACAGUAGCCAUGAGGAUUGCAACAGCUUGCCAGAAUGGAGGGAUACAUGACUGGAGAGACAGAAAAAUCACAGAGAGAUCUGAAAGAGGGAGGGAAUGAAGAAUUAAAGUGAUCAACACCUAGAAUUAAACUAUCAGUCAACAGAGAUUAAAUGCAAUAGGAAACAAGGCAGGGCUAUGCAGUACCUGACGUAUUCUAUUUCAGCAGUGGGAAAACUCUCCUACCAGAAACUAGUUAGUGGUCAAAUAACCCAGGUUGCUUAGAGAAGCUGUGGCUGUCCUAUCCCUGGAAGUGGUCAAGACUCGAUUGGACGAGGCUUGGAGCAACAUGGGAUAGUGGAAAGUAUCCCUGCUCAAGGCAGAGGGAUUGGAGUGGGAUGGACUUUAAAAGCCCCUUCCAAACCAAAGCAUUCCGUGAUUUUGUGAUUCUAAGUUGGUUAAAACACGUGAAAUAAUUGAAACUCCACCUCCCUUGGUUUUGUAAAGGAAAACCACAAUCCUUCCUUCUACUUGAACCCUUUGCAUAUUUGCCAAAGGGUGACAUGAGAGAGGACAGGUGGGCAGACUGCCUCAGGGCAUUCCCCACUCAUCCUCACCUGUCAUGGAGGGCCACCAAAGAGCAAGUGGUUGGCUUCUAAUGGGACAAGGCUCAAGAAGGUUUUGGUAAAAGAUGAAAUAAUUGGAUGUGUCUUAUAAGAAGGAAGUAGGCAGUAGGAAAGGAGGGAGGGUGUGGUUUGGAGGUGGCAGAGUUACUUGUGGAUGGUGGUGAAGCACAUGGGUGAGUUUAAGUUCAGGCAUGCAGCUCAAGAGUUAGACCAGAGACCACAGCAAAGGCCUGGUAAGGAUGUGCUGAGUCAGAUCCUGGGCAGUGGGGAGAAACAUUUCUCAUUAUUGUAAACUGUUUUUUUCCCUCCUGCACUGCUUAAUUGAUCUCGGGAACUUGCUAAGUAAAGUAUUACUGGGCAUGCAAUUUUGCAGGAGGAAAAUAUAGCUGGAAAAGCUCUGAGUUAUCUCACAGAGGAUAGAUGCAUAAUGGGAGCACAAAAUAACAUAAACUCUCAUACUACAGGGUAUACAGUCAUUACUGCUGACAGGUUUAUACAGCAAAAUUAGUCCAUAAUUGCUCAAAGGGAAUUCUUGUGUCUUCCUCUGAGGAACUCUCGGAGGGAGAAUCUGGAUUAAAAGCACUUCUAAUUGUAUUCAGUGCAACUUUUCCUAUAUCUUAGCAAAUAUUUUCCAUUUCUGACUCAUAUAAUAUGGAAAAAAAUCAUAUCUCCUGCAGGUUACGUAAAUUUUAGUAAAAACAGAAGUUUGAUUUUUGUGAACGGGAUUCCUGGGAAAAGCGGCAAGAUCCAAACAAAAGCAGUACAUGAGCUGUUUUACAGGGUCAUCCUACCUGCAGGCAUCUAAUGGAACUGCAGUUGUGCAUAGUCAGUGAACAUCUCCCAUUUAAUCAGUGCCUUAAUUGCAGGGCCUCCUGAGACUUUUUUACAGGGUCCCCUGAGACUCCUUUGUCUUUGUAGCAUUAUGUCCAGAUGCACAGAAGAUGGAACCCCUUCCCUUCCCUUCCCUUCCCUUCCCUUCCCUUCCCUUCCCUUCCCUUCCCUUC